AUUGAACGCUGGCGGCAGGCUUAACACAUGCAAGUCGAGCGGAGUGAUGGUGCUUGCACUAUCACUUAGCGGCGGACGGGUGAGUAAUGCUUAGGAAUCUGCCUAUUAGUGGGGGACAACAUCUCGAAAGGGAUGCUAAUACCGCAUACGUCCUACGGGAGAAAGCAGGGGAUCACUUGUGACCUUGCGCUAAUAGAUGAUCCUAAGUCGGAUUAGCUAGUUGGUGGGGUAAAGGCCUACCAAGGCGACGAUCUGUAGCGGGUAUGAGAGGAUGAUCCGCCAAACUGGGAAUGAGACACGGCCCAGACUACUACGGGAGGCAGCAGUAGGGAAUAUUGGACAAUGGGGGGAACCCUGAUCCAGCCAUGCCGCGUGUGUGAAGAAGGCCUUAUGGUUGUAAAGCACUUUAAGCGAGGAGGAGGCUCUUUUGGUUAAUACCCAAGAUGAGUGGACGUUACUCGCAGAAUAAGCACCGGCUAACUCUGUGCCAGCAGCCGCAGUAA
rnacentral:rRNA from 1 species